AGUGAACGCUGGCGGUAGGCCUAACACAUGCAAGUCGAACGGCAGCACAGGAGAGCUUGCUCUCUGGGUGGCGAGUGGCGGACGUGUGAGGAAUACAUCGGAAUCUACUCUGUCGUGGGGGAUAACGUAGGGAAACUUACGCUAAUACCGCAUACGACCUACGGGUGAAAGCAGGGGACCUUCGGGCCUUGCGCGAUUGAAUGAGCCGAUGUCGGAUUAGCUAGUUGGCGGGGUAAAGGCCCACCAAGGCGACGAUCCGUAGCUGGUCUGAGAGGAUGAUCAGCCACACGGGAACUGAGACACGGUCCAGACUCCUACGGGAGGCAGCAGUGGGGAAUAUUGGACAAUGGGCGCAAGCCUGAUCCAGCCAUACCGCGUGGGUGAAGAAGGCCUUCGGGUUGUAAAGCCCUUUUGUUGGGAAAGAAAUCCAGCUGGCUAAUACCCGGUUGGGGUGACGGUACCCAAAGAAUAAGCACCGGCUAACUUCGUGCCAGCCGCCGCAGUAA
rnacentral:rRNA from 1 species